rnacentral:lncRNA from 1 species
AUCGGUGCAUACAUCUAGGAUUUAUUUAGAUACGUACAUCAAAUUAAAGCAUAUAUGUAUAUAGAGAGUUAUAUUAUAUACCUGCCUUUUAGAUCUUUAUGUUCUUUGAGGAUCUUGUAUCUUUCUUCCUCUUUCAAGGGCUUUUUUUUUCUUACCCUUUGAAUUUCGCUUCCAAAGUAGAUAGAGUAGGCUUAUAACUCUUUAAGUCAAAGAGAUAGAUAUAUCAGGGUUUUAGCCCUCUCAAAGAAAGGGGAAACCCUAAUUUCAAGAAGAAUUGAGAAAGAUUUGCCUAGAAGCUGAGAAUUUAAAGAAACCAAAACAAACAAAUAAAAAGGGGGGAAAAAUAGAGAAAAAAUUUAGUGGAGAAGAAGGAGAAAGAGCAAAAGACAAAG